AGCCAACUGAUAAGUCCCACAUAGGACGAAACGCGCAUCCUAGAU
rnacentral:hammerhead_ribozyme from 1 species